AAUUCGGCGAUUUUGGGACUUCUGAGGCACCCCCACCUCCGGGAGGCGUCGGGGGAAGAGCGGAGCCCCCCCCCGGAGCUGCAGCGGCCGGGGGGGGGCGGCCCGGGGCUCCCUCAGCGCCCGCCGGAGCCGCCGUUUCACCCUUGCCAUGCCGGCUCCUCGUCCCCCAAGCCGACCUGGGAACCUCCGGGACCCCGAAAUUGCGGAAUUAUUCCUCAAAGAUGACCCCGAGAAGGUUUUUGGGGAGCUGCGGGAGAUCGGGCACGGAAGUUUCGGGGCUGUUUUCAGUGUGAGUGAAGGAAAAAAUCCAAAAUUCCGCCUGAAAUUGGUGCUAAAACAGCCCCAAAAUCCAAUAAAACGCCUCAGGGUUCACCCGGAAGAGCCCAACCCCUGUAAAA